UGCCUCUUGAAAAAAUAUAAGAGGUAUUUUCUGCCCAGUGAAUUUUUAACGGCCGCGGUAUCCUGACCGUGCAAAGGUAGCAUAAUAAUUUGCCUCUUAAUUAGAGGCUGGAAUGAAAGAAUAAACUAAAUAAUGCUGUCCCUUAAAAAUUUUAUAAAAAUUAAUCUCCAGGUGAAAAAGCCUCUAUAAAGUAAAAAGACAAAAAGACCCUAUCAAGCUUUACUCUAUCCGUUCAUAAUUGGUAAAGAGUUUGGUUGGGGCGACUAUUGAAAAACAACUAUCUUUCAUAAACCUUAAGACUAAUAUGUCUAAAAUAUUAAAUAUUUAAUAUAAAAAAGCUACUGUAGGGAUAACAGGCUAAUAUCUUCUAAGAGCCCAAAUUAAAGAAGAUGAUUGGCACCUCGAUGUUGGCUUAGGGGACCAUUCUCCCGCAGAAGGGUUUACUGGGGGUUUGUUCAACCUUUAAUCCCCU
rnacentral:rRNA from 1 species